GGUCUCCUCCCAAAGCGUAACGGAGGAGCACGAAGGUUAGCUAAUCCUGGUCGGACAUCAGGAGGUUAGUGCAAUGGCAUAAGCUAGCUUGACUGCGAGCGUGACGGCGCGAGCAGGUGCGAAAGCAGGUCAUAGUGAUCCGGUGGUUCUGAAUGGAAGGGCCAUCGCUCAACGGAUAAAAGGUACUCCGGGGAUAACAGGCUGAUACCGCCCAAGAGUUCAUAUCGACGGCGGUGUUUGGCACCUCGAUGUCGGCUCAUCACAUCCUGGGGCUGAAGUAGGUCCCAAGGGUAUGGCUGUUCGCCAUUUAAAGUGGUACGCGAGCUGGGUUUAGAACGUCGUGAGACAGUUCGGUCCCUAUCUGCCGUGGGCGCUGGAGAAUUGAGGGGGGCUGCUCCUAGUACGAGAGGACCGGAGUGGACGCAUCACUGGUGUUCGGGUUGUCAUGCCAAUGGCACUGCCCGGUAGCUAAAUGCGGAAGAGAUAAGUGCUGAAAGCAUCUAAGCACGAAACUUGCCCCG
rnacentral:rRNA from 1 species